rnacentral:misc_RNA from 1 species
GAUGAAGAACGCAGCGAAAUGCGAUAAGUAAUGUGAAUUGCAGAAUUCAGUGAAUCAUCGAAUCUUUGAACGCACCUUGCACCCUUUGGUAUUCCGAAGGGUAUGCUCGUUUGAGUGUCAUUGUACUCUCACACUUCUAAUUCCUUUCGGGAUUGGGAGCGGUGGACUUGGGUGUUGCUGCUUUAGUUGUGGCUCACCUCAAAUAAGUUAGUGCAACUCUUGGUUGGACAUAGUACGGCGUGAUAAGUGUCUUCGCCGGCGCCUCUGUAAGGAGGGUGGCCGAUCGGGAGCUCUGUGCUUCAAACCGUCUUCGGACAAUCUUUGACAACUUGACCUCAAAUCGAGUAGGACUACCCGCUGAACUUAAGCAUACAAUAAGCGGAGGA